rnacentral:rRNA from 1 species
AGUGACCGAUAGUGAACCAGUACCGUGAGGGAAAGGUGAAAAGAACCCCGGGAGGGGAGUGAAAGAGAACCUGAAACCGUGUGCCUACAAGUAGUCAGAGCCCGUUAACGGGUAAUGGCGUGCCUUUUGUAGAAUGAACCGGCGAGUUGCGUUAGUCAGCAAGGUUAAGUCAGAAAAGACGGAGCCGUAGCGAAAGCGAGUCUGAAGAGGGCGAGCAGUUGGCUGACACAGACCCGAAACCAAGUGACCUACCCAUGACCAGGUUGAAGGCGCGGUAAAACGCGCUGGAGGACCGAACCCACGUAAGUUGAAAAUUGCGGGGAUGAGUUGUGGGUAGCGGUGAAAUUCCAAACGAACUUGGAGAUAGCUGGUUCUCUCCGAAAUAGCUUUAGGGCUAGCCUCGCAAAGAGGAUGCUGGAGGUAGAGCUCUGUUUGGACUAGGGGCCCGUCAAGGGUUACUGAAUUCAGAUAAACUGCGAAUUCCAGACAUUUAUGUGCGGGAGUCAGACUGCGAGUGAUAAGAUCCGUAGUCGAAAGGGAAACAGCCCAGAUCACCAGUUAAGGUCCCAAAAUUCAUGCUAAGUGGAAAAGGAUGUGGAGUUGCGCAGACAACUAGGACGUUGGCUCAGAAGCAGCCAUCAUUCAAAGAGUGCGUAAUAGCUCACUAGUCGAGUGACGCCGCGCCGAAAAUUUACCGGGGCUAAGCAUGAUACCGAAACUGUGGAUGUGCAUUUAUGCACGUGGUAGGAGAGCGUUCUAGCGGCGGUGAAGCAUGACCGAGAGGACAUGUGGAGCUUCUAGAAGUGAGAAUGCCGGUAUGAGUAACGAAAGACAGGUGAGAAUCCUGUCCGCCGCAAGACUAAGGUUUCCUGGGGCAGGCUCGUCCGCCCAGGGUAAGUCGGGACCUAAGGCGAGGCCGAGAGGCGUAGUCGAUGGACAACAGGUUGAAAUUCCUGUACUGCACCGAAUCGUUAUGAGCGAUGGAGGGACGCAGGAGGCUAGCAGCGCGUGGUGCUGGAUACCACGUUCAAGCGUCAAGUCUGAGAGCGAGUCAAAUGCUUGUUCUCAUAAGGACAAGGCGUGAUGAGGAGCGAAAUUAAAGUAGCGAAGGCUGCGACGUCACACUGCCGAGAAAAGCUUCUAGCCAGAGACGGUGCACCCGUACCGCAAACCGACACAGGUAGUCGAGGAGAGUAUCCUCAGGUGAGCGAGAGAACUCUCGUUAAGGAACUCGGCAAAAUGGCCCCGUAACUUCGGGAGAAGGGGCGCUGGUCGCAAGAUCAGCCGCAGUGAAAAGGCCCAAGCAACUGUUUAUCAAAAACACAGGCAUCUGCAAAAUCGUAAGAUGAAGUAUAGGUGCUGACACCUGCCCGGUGCUGGAAGGUUAAGAGGAGAGCUUAGCGCAAGCGAAGGUUUGAAUUGAAGCCCCAGUAAACGGCGGCCGUAACUAUAACGGUCCUAAGGUAGCGAAAUUCCUUGUCGGGUAAGUUCCGACCUGCACGAAAGGUGUAAUGAUUUGGGCACUGUCUCAACGAGAGACUCGGUGAAAUUAUAAUACCCGUGAAGAUGCGGGUUACCCGCGACAGGACGGAAAGACCCCAUGGAGCUUUACUGCAGUUUAAUAUUGGGUAUCUGUCAAGCAUGUACAGGAUAGGUAGGAGCCGGAGAAGAUAGGACGCCAGUCUUAUCUGAGGCGCUGUUGGGAUACUACCCUUGCUUGACGGAUGCUCUAACUCAGGCCUGUGAUCCAGGCCGAGGACAGUGUUUGACGGGCAGUUUGACUGGGGCGGUCGCCUCCUAAAGUGUAACGGAGGCGCCCAAAGGUUCCCUCAGAAUGGUUGGAAAUCAUUCGCAGAGUGUAAAGGUAAAAGGGAGCUUGACUGCGAGAGAGACAACUCGAGCAGGUACGAAAGUAGGGCUUAGUGAUCUGGUGGUACCGCAUGGAAGGGCCAUCACUCAACGGAUAAAAGCUACCCUGGGGAUAACAGGCUUAUCUCCCCCAAGAGUUCACAUCGACGGGGAGGUUUGGCACCUCGAUGUCGGCUCGUCGCAUCCUGGGGCUGAAGUCGGUCCCAAGGGUUGGGCUGUUCGCCCAUUAAAGCGGCACGCGAGCUGGGUUCAGAACGUCGUGAGACAGUUCGGUCCCUAUCCGUCGUGGGCGUAGGAAAUUUGAGAGGAGCUGUCCUUAGUACGAGAGGACCGGGAUGGACGCACCGCUGGUGUACCAGUUGUCUUGCCAAAGGCAUCGCUGGGUAGCUAUGUGCGGACGGGAUAAGCGCUGAAAGCAUCUAAGUGCGAAGCCCCCCUCAAGAUGAGAUUUCCCAUUUCU